rnacentral:misc_RNA from 1 species
AACGCACCUUGCGCCCCUCGGUAUUCCGAGGAGCAUGCCCGUUUGAGUGUCUUGAUAUCAUCAAGCCCCGAGCCCCUUGUGGCCCUGGCGCUUGGACUUGGACGUGGUGCCGGGCGUUGCCGCCCGGCUCGUCUGAAAUUCAUUAGCGAGAAGCGUGAGCUAUGGCCGGCUCUCAUUGGCGUGAUAAGGUCACACCCGUCGAGAGGCCCCCCGGACCUGCGAUCGCCGCACCGCUCCCAACCGUCCUCCGGACAACAGCGAGCCUGCCCCCGUGGCGGUUCGACGUCUGACCUCAAAUCGGGUAGGACUACCCGCUGAACUUAA